rnacentral:rRNA from 1 species
UCGAGAAUCUUCCACCAAUGUGCGAAAGCAUGAUGGAGCGACGCCGCGUGGGCGAUGAAGGCCUUCGGGUUGUAAAGCCCUGUUGGAUGGGCGUAAUCCCUGGGGAUGAAUACUCUUCCAGGUUGAACUCCCAUCGGAGGAAGCACCGGCUAAACUCGUGCCAGCAGCCGCGGUAAUACGAGUGGUGCGAGCGUUGUUCGGAAUUACUGGGCAUAAAGAGCACGUAGGCGGUCUGGUAAGUCUGCUGUGAAAUCCCCCGGCUCAACCGGGGAACUGCAGCUGAUACUGCUGGGCUAGAGUGCGGGAGGGGAGAGCGGAAUUCCUGGUGGAGCGGUGAUAUGCGUAGAUAUCAGGAGGAACGCCGGAGGCGAAAGCGGCUCUCUGGUCCGCAACUGACGCUGAGGUGCGAAAGCGUGGGUAGCAAACAGGAUUAGAUACCCCGGUAGUCCCUGAGCGGGCUGGCAAGGCGCAU